AGACCCGAAACCCGGUGAUCUAGCCAUGGGCAGGUUGAAGGUUGGGUAACACUAACUGGAGGACCGAACCGACUAAUGUUGAAAAAUUAGCGGAUGACCUGUGGCUGGGGGUGAAAGGCCAAUCAAACCGGGAGAUAGCUGGUUCUCCCCGAAAGCUAUUUAGGUAGCGCCUCGUGAAUUCAUCUCCGGGGGUAGAGCACUGUUUCGGCUAGGGGGCCAUCCCGGCUUACCAACCCGAUGCAAACUGCGAAUACCGGAGAAUGUUAUCACGGGAGACACACGGCGGGUGCUAACGUCCGUCGUGAAGAGGGAAACAACCCAGACCGCCAGCUAAGGUCCCAAAGUCAUGGUUAAGUGGGAAACGAUGUGGGAAGGCCCAGACAGCCAGGAUGUUGGCUUAGAAGCAGCCAUCAUUUAAAGAAAGCGUAAUAGCUCACUGGUCGAGUCGGCCUGCGCGGAAGAUGUAACGGGGCUAAACCAUGCACCGAAGCUGCGGCAGCGACACUUAAGUGUUGUUGGGUAGGGGAGCGUUCUGUAAGCCGUUGAAGGUGUGCUGUGAGGCAUGCUGGAGGUAUCAGAAGUGCGAAUGCUGACAUAAGUAACGAUAAAGCGGGUGAAAAGCCCGCUCGCCGGAAGACCAAGGGU
rnacentral:rRNA from 1 species